CACGUAGGCACCAAGCGUUUGUCCGGAUUUAUUGGGCGUAAAGGGCUCGUAGGCGGCCAACUAAGUCAGACGUGAAAUCCCUCGGCUUAACCGGGGAACUGCGUCUGAUACUGGAUGGCUUGAGAUUGGGAGAGGGAUGCGGAAUUCCAGGUGUAGCGGUGAAAUUCGUAGAUAUCGGGAGGAAUACCAGUGGCGAAGGCGGCUGCCUGGCCUGUUCUUGACGCUGAGGCGCGAAAGCUGGGGGAGCAAACGGG
rnacentral:rRNA from 1 species